rnacentral:lncRNA from 1 species
UUAAAGGUUUAGGGAAAAGAAAAGGAUAUUUCUUAACAAGUCACAUGUUGGUACCACCCAUCGGCACACACAGGAGCUGCAAAUACACAUUUACAUGACAACUCUUGAAAUGUGGAAAUCCGUGAUGAAUACAGGAAGAGUGUUUCCGUAAGUACACAUUUCAGGUUUCCAAAUAAGCUCCCAGUUGGUCCUAGAGGCUGCAGAGGAGCCUGUGCUGGUCCUGUGACCACUGCUGGGGACAAGAGGCAAGUUGGCUGAGCACAGAGCCAACGGGAGAAGGGCAGUAUGCCAAACAGUUGGGACCGAGGCACCCCAGCAACAUCGGCCCUGCUGUCCCUUUAAUGAAACGGUUGUGUGGUGGCCGGUGAAGGCCAUCACUGGAAGUCUCUAUCGCCAUAAACCACCAGGGACAGAGCAAUGUGGCCUUUCCACUUCCCUGGGCAAAGCACUGCAGUCGUCCCAGGAGCAGAGCUACUGCUGGCUGCUUCUCUAGGUCGAGAUGGAAUCUACACACAGGCAAAACUGCCCACUACAGGGUACACUUAGAUCUGAAUGUGGACAAACAUAUACCACUGUCUACCACCUCCACAGCAAGGAACAGGACACUUCCAUCUCUCAUGAAGUGCCUUUGUGCCCCCUUGCAGCCCAUCCCCUCCCCAUACAGCCCCCAGCAACCACAGACAUGAUUUUUGCCCCUUUUCCAGGAUGGCAAGGAUAUAUGGAAUACACAGUAUGCAGCCUGGCUUUUGAGACUGGCUUCUGUCACCCACCAUAAUGUUUCUGAGACUGAUCCAUGUUGCUAUCUACGUCAGAAGUUCACUCUUUCUUACUGCUAAGUAGUAUUCGACUGUGUAGGUAUACCACUAUCAGAAGUUCACUCUUUCUUACUGCUAAGUAGUAUUCGAUUGGGUAGUUAUACCACUCUUUGGUUUAUCCAUAUUCUUCCUGCUGAAGGUUGCUUGGGUCAUUUUCAGUUUGGGGGAAUUAUGAAUAAAGAAGCUAUAACGUUCAUCUAUUGGUCUUUUGUGGGGACAUAAGCUUCCAUGACUCUUCGGUGAAUACCUAGGAAUGGAAAUGUUAACUGUACGUUUAACAAAACUGCCGAACUGCUACCCAAAGUGACUGGACAGCUGUGCACUGCCAUCAGCAACGUAUGAGACUUCCCUGUCCUGCAUGCUCCCAGCACUUAGUAUUGCCAGGGUGUUUUGUUCUGUUUUGUUAUUUUUAGCCAUUCUACUUAGUGUAGCAAUAUUGCAUUGUGAUUUUAAUUUGCAUCUUUCUAAAG